ACCUUGCGCCUCGCCGCUUCCCGGCCUCCGCACGCCGCGCCGCAUCCCCAUCACCAGCGCCCGGUCGUGCGAGAACCAUGCCCCCACCAACCCAGCUGACCUCCACCAUGCUGCAGCACCACCACACCAUUUCCUGCCAGUGGGGAUCCGCCGCCGAAUCCAGGCAUAUCGGCGCGCCGCCCUCCGCCUCUUUCUGUCUUCCCUCGGUGACGCUCCUCCACCAUCACUCUGCCAGGUUCCAGCGGGGGCUCCACAUGCCGCUACGUCAGUCCAAAUCCCGCUGCCCAGGCCGGCCACCACCAAGUUCCUCUUUGCUCCACCCCCACAUCGGGUUGCAGCUCGGGCCCCUCGGUGCCGCAUCUGGUAGAGCUCGCUGCCCUGCUGUGGUUCUAACAGGGGAUGGACGUGCUGGCAUACACAGGAAGAUCGAGGCCCUCGUCUGGUACGUCCAGUUUUGAUCGCGAUGCUUUUCUACUCAUGACACUGGAGCCCCCACUACGCACAAGUACGUGGUGGAAGUUUGUAUCAGUUCGCACCUUCCAUAAAGUUUGUAAGUACAAAGAUAUCACCUUGAUGUAGUAUGUAAAUAUGUAUUGCAAAUUUGCAAUUCAGGAAUGGGUGUGUGUGUUGUAGUCUCUGCCUACAGAGUCGAUAUGUGUUUUUGUAGUGUUGGUAGUUGUAGUCUCCCGCGCUCUCUGCCGUCGUCAAGGGUGCAUGUGUGCCGUCCUCAGUCCAACCCCAUGGCAUCAGGGUGGUCGAGUUCGUCGCGACCAGCAGUCCAUGGCUGUCGGUUUCAACUUUAUUCCACCUAGGUGCUUACACUUCUUUUUGGAUGUUUUUUGUAUGAAUCUGCAUUUUGGUUAUUGAAUUCAGUACAACGAAACACAUGAAUCCCCAACGCGUACCAAAUUACAAGUUGAGUUGGCGCCGUUCGUGCAGCUGCCAAUGUGGUCGCUGGGGCUAGUCAACUGGAAGAUCUACAUGUCAUCAGUCCAACUUCUUGCCCCGCCGCCGGUCACUCAAAAAAGAGUCGCGUGUAGGCCACCCCAUGCUCCGCCCCCUGAUCCGGCGUUUUUGUUUCAUAAAUUUAAGAAGAAUAUCAGUCCAAUAGCAGUCCAAUUUGCAAACCAAUAGCAGUCCGCGGGCCACUACUACAGCAAAUAUCCGAGUUUUCUUGUUGAUUUAUGAGGGAUACCACAAGUUCUAUUUUUACAGAAGUUGAACUACAGGAUAUGAAGUUUGAUGGAUGUGGAGGUUCUUUUGACCUUGAAAUUUAUAUGAGUUCAGCUUUUACUAGAUUUUAGUUCAAAAAUUGCAUUCUUUUCAGUAAAUCAACUUUAAUAUGCAGAACAUCAAGGAAAUCUUGAAAAUUAUAUGUGCACUCUAUGUCUUUUUCUUAUGCUUACAAGUAUUCUGCACUCAUACUGUUAUGCAUAAGUUCAGGUCGCGUGUGGAGUUUCAGAUAUAUGCAAUUGAAUUAGAGCACCAUGUUCUCACCCAUGUAAUUUGCAGGGAAAACAUAAUAAGAUCUAAGAACAUAAAUAUAGAAGUUCAUAUUUUGAAACAAAUGAAGUAUUUGGGAACUAAAAUGAAGUAUUUCAAAGUACAGAACUUCUAUUUAGGUUCCUUUUGUGUACUUCUAAUGUUACUGUGCAUGAACUUCUCGUUAUUUUUACAUGUUUUACAUGAUUAUUAUGGUCAUUUCGACCUUGACAAAUUUCAUUUUCUUUUUUUCCAUUCAUCUUACAGGUCGAAGGAGCUCCCUUCAGUUCAAUGGAUUCAACAAAAUAAUCCAUGUUGCCUACUAGAACUUGCGUGUGUGCUGUGGCAUGUGUGCAGCUGCAUGCCUGGUGCCUGAUGCGGCGUGCGAGCAUGUACACAAAUUGAACUGAAUGAUCUCCAGUAAGUGAACUCAAUGAUCUCCUGUAUUUGAACGACAGGGGAGAUGCAUCAUGUACAAAAAAUGGUAGGAUCUUGAGGUGUUGCUGCUACUUCUUUCUUCUCAUGCCCUACUGUUGCUCCAUUUGAUUCCAUGCUACUUAUAUGAAAAUAAUUGAUGGUCUAGGUGCUUGUUGAAAUGCUUAUGAGAACCAAUUUUUGUUGUUUGGUAUUUGGUAUAAUAGGGUAAAGAAAGGAUACCCUAUGAUGCCUCUUGCCGAAUAGAUUUAUUAGAAGUUCCAUUUUUCCAGCAAGUGUAUGGUCAGAUUCUCUUGAAAAAUGUUAUAAAAGACACAAGUGCUGCAGCGGUGCCGCCGCACCUCUGGUUUCCCGUUGGUAUAUUUUCCAUAUGAUCUGCAGCAGUUCUUCAGUGCGCGAUUCGACAAAAAGACCAUCAGUUCAAUUACUAAAUUACUAAAUAUUUUUUUGGUUCAGUUCAAUUACUAAAUUUAGUUCAGUACAAUUCUUGUUAUAGUUACAGAUCAGUUCAAUAGUUCGAGUUUAAAAGAUUACUUGUUGAGAUUCUUGUGAACAUGUAAUGUUACUGUACAUGAACUUGUUGUUCUUUUUACAUGAACUUGUGCAUGCUAAUUGGUGGUUGUUGUGUGUGAAAAAAGUAAUUUCUUGGUCAGGAUUUUGCAGGGUCUUUGGGUUAGAAGUGGUUAAUUGGUUAGCCCCUGGAGCUUGUCCGCGAGCCAGGCGCUGGGCCAACCACAAGGCAAACGCCACCAGGUAGGGCGCCAGACGGCUGCCGUGCGUGGCGUGAGCCUUUCCGACCCCAUUUCCAGGUUAAGCGCCAAGGAUCUCAUCGUCGGGUUCGCAAAAGCACUAGUGCCUCUGCUUCCAAUUUUCUUCAAAAGUUCUGCUAACCAAUUAGCCACUGAUAAGAUGACUUUACUUCCAACUAGCCACUCAAAAGUUGUGGCCAUUUAAUGACACCUUCUACAUUUGAGACAUGUGAAAUUGUAACCUUCCAAUGUUACCGUUUGGUAGCUCAGGAUGCUUUAUGUUUUGGAGAUCUACAGAGUGACUAUCUGAGA
rnacentral:rRNA from 1 species